rnacentral:rRNA from 1 species
UCAGAGUGAACGCUGGCGGCAGGCCUAAUACAUGCAAGUCGAACGGCAGCACAGCAGAGCUUGCUCUGUGGGUGGCGAGUGGCAGACGGGUGAGGAAUACGUGGGAAUCUGCCCAGUCGUGGGGGAUAACGUAGGGAAACUUACGCUAAUACCGCAUGCGCCCUUCGGGGAAAGCCGGGGACCUUCGGGCCUGGCGCGAUUGGAUGAGCCCACGUCGGAUUAGCUAGUUGGCGGGGUAAAGGCCCACCAAGGCGACGAUCCGUAGCUGGUCUGAGAGGAUGAUCAGCCACACUGGAACUGAGACACGGUCCAGACUCCUACGGGAGGCAGCAGUAGGGAAUAUUGGACAAUGGGCGCAAGCCUGAUCCAGCCAUGCCGCGUGAGUGAAGAAGGCCCUCGGGUUGUAAAGCUCUUUUGUCCGGAAAGAAAAGCGCCGGGUUAAUACCCUGGUGUCCUGACGGUACCGGAAGAAUAAGCACCGGCUAACUUCGUG